rnacentral:rRNA from 1 species
UACCUGCAGCUCAAGUGGUGGCCGCUAUUAUUGGGCCUAAAACGUUCGUAGCCGGUUUAGUAAAUGCUUGGGUAAAUUGUGCCGCUUAACGAUACGAAUACCGGGUAGACUGCUAAACUUGGGACCGGGAGAGGCUAGAGGUACUCCUGGGGUAGAGGUGAAAUUCUGUAAUCCUGGGGGGACCACCAGUGGCGAAGGCGUCUAGCCAGAACGGGUCUGACGGUGAGGAACGAAGCCCUGGGGCGCAAACCGGAUUAGAUACCCGGGUAGUCCAGGGUGUAAACGCUGCUCGCUUGAUGUCAGUUGGGCUCCGAGCCCAACUAGUGUCGGAGAGAAGUUGUUAAGCGAGCUGCCUGGGAAGUACGGUCGCAAGACUGAAACUUAAAGGAAUUGGCGGGGAGCACAGCAACGGGUGGAGCGUGCGGUUU